ACCGUUAGGCGAUGGAUUGCUUGGCCCUUGCUUGGCCCUUGCUUCGAUGAAGGGCGCAGUGAAACGCGAUAACACUUGUGACUCGCAACUUCUGUGACCAUUAUCACCCCGAACAUUUAGUGCGGCCUUGCCUUCGGGCACUGGCCCCCCUGGUUUGCCUUGUCCA
rnacentral:rRNA from 1 species